GUGAUCCACGGGGCAUACAGUGGAAGUAUAAACUGGGACAAGGUAGAAACUCAGGUCCCAGGGCUGCUAGCCUCCCACAAGGCUGCUUUUUUUCUCCUCAGGGAAACUCCUAUAUCCUUUCACUCCAGAUUGGAUUACAGUGGCCUAGGGGACAACAAGUGGGAAGAUGCAGAGCACUUUAGAGGUUCCGGUACUCCUUCCUUAAGGGCCUACAGGAGACCAGCUGAUGGCUGGCCCCAGGUGAGACAUGGUUCUGUUGUUCUCCCCAAGCUCAUGGCCCUACAGGCUCAUCUUCCCCCCUC
rnacentral:lncRNA from 1 species